AAUGUAACACAUUACAAAUACUUUAACCAUUUUGGCAUUCCCUAAGUCAACAGUUCUUUACGUAAGGAUACCAAAAACAAAAAAAGGCAGAUCUGCUAAGUUAUAUUACAAAUGAUUUCAAUUUAAUAGUAGACAUUUUGUGCAAAGAAUUAUACUAAAUGUAUUUCAUCCCUAAAUCAUGUAAUUGGUGCCGAUAAGAAUUCUCAACAUCUUAAAAGGAAUAAAAAUAAAUUUCCACAGGAAGUAUAUCCAAAUUCACAAGAAAAACACAUUUCUUAACAGUUUCUCUAAAAUAGAAUAUAUAUUAAAGAAUGGUAAAACCCAGAAAUAAACACAUACUAGAGCUAUAGAUUUGAAACCACUGUCAGUUAAAAGGGCAUUCACACAGAUAUCCAAAGAUAGGUUCAUGUCACUUAAGGCAUGGCCAUCUGUGUGUUACCACUGUGUCAGCCAAAAGAGAUGUCUUCCCUUUCUGUCAGAGGACCUCUUAUUAAGGGACUUAUCCCUUUUCUUACAAAGCGAAUCAGAUAUUUAAUCACAAUCAUAACUGAUAUAAGUAACAUAACUCCCAAUUUUGAAAGAAAAAAAAUGAAUUCAGACAUUCCACAAAAUAAAAACCUAACAAUUCAAAAUUUACAAAAUCUUAAACAUUGUUAACCCUGAUCUAUGAGAAUAAAAGUGACUUUUUCUAAAAUUCUAAUUCACAAUAUGGAACUUGAUAAUAGGAAAAAAAGACAAACACUGUAUGCCAGUGCAACAUACAAAAGUAUUAGAUAACAGACAUUCCCAAAUAGUCACUCCAAUAUAAUAAAUGAAGUAUUAGAUAACAGACAUUCCCAAAUGAUCACUCCAACCCCAUUUUAAAGGUAUGUGAAAAUACAUAUACAAUACAUGCCUCAUUCUUACCAAAUUAUCGAUGAGGCCACUAUUAACCCAUGAUAAUUACCAUUACCUCCUAGGGAUAAUAUUUAAAGACAAGUAAUCAAUGAUGGAUGCACAAAAAAAAAAAAAA